UACGGUGGGGGCAAGCGUUGUUCGGAAUUACUGGGCGUAAAGGGCUCGUAGGUGGCCAACUAAGUCGGACGUGAAAUCCCUCGGCUUAACCGGGGAACUGCGUCUGAUACUGGAUGGCUUGAGUUCGGGAGAGGGAUGCGGAAUUCCAGGUGUAGCGGUGAAAUGCGCAGAUAUCAGGAAGAACACCUAUGGCGAAAGCAGCUCUCUGGGACGGUACUGACGCUGAGACGCGAAAGCGUGGGGAGCGAACAGG
rnacentral:rRNA from 1 species